GGUGACAUGAAUUUUUGAAACUUCCCUCCAUGUCCCAGAAUACAGUGCAAAAUACAUCCCAGUUACAUCACGAAUACAUUAGGAAGAGGUUGGGUUACACAGAUUACAUCACGAAUACAUUAGGAAGAGGUUGGGUUACACCGGAUUAACAUAUGGAGGAGGGAGGGGGGAAUAUGCAGAGCUGGAGAUAUGCGCAGAUAAGCACAUCCUGAGAAGACAAUGGUCCAUGUAUGCAUAGUCUGCCACCUGGCAUUGCCCGGAGGAAAGGCUUGGCAGAGCGACUUGACAGGAUUAGGGUCUUGACACCUUGCUUGAGGGAUUAUGGAGGACAGGGGAGGUGUCAUGGAGUCCUAGAGAAAUUGAGCAAAUUGGCAC